GUUUUGGGUACUUCAGUCAACAAGCUGCCAUCUUCAACAUGGGGCAUACAGAGCAGUUUUCAAGCCUCUAUAGAAGUCAUCUUACAGCGAGUCUGAGCCAGUGAAAUGCAGUUAUAGUGAUAUGUGUACUCCCAAGGUAGCUGUCAAUGCUCCUACUCGGAAAUACUCAUAUGUUGCUUCUGACUUGAAGCAGAGGAACUCACAACCUAAGAAGCCACAGGCUUGAAGAUGGCAGAGCACAAGAUGGCAGAAGUUUGGAAUGAAUUACUACUUGAAAGAGAAGCUCUUAUUUACCAAGAAAUAUAUUUUGGAAUUUGCAUGAGUAAGAAAUAAAUCCA
rnacentral:lncRNA from 1 species